rnacentral:rRNA from 1 species
UACGUAGGGUGCGAGCGUUAAUCGGAAUUACUGGGCGUAAAGCGUGCGCAGGCGGUUUUGUAAGCCAGAUGUGAAAUCCCCGGGCUCAACCUGGGAAUGGCAUUUGGGACUGCAAGGCUGGAGUACGGCAGAGGAGACUGGAAUUCCUGGUGUAGCAGUGAAAUGCGUAGAGAUCAGGAGGAAUACCGAUGGCGAAGGCAGGUCUCUGGGCUGAUACUGACGCUCAUGCACGAAAGCGUGGGGAGCAAACAGG